GCCAGACAAGGGAGGCUCACUUGCCUGGGUUACUUCUUGCUGGUGCCUCUGGAAAUCGUCUAGACUGUGGGAACCUGAGCCGGCCGGACAUGUGGCCUGGGGAGAGAAAGACAGACGAAAGUGUCAUAGAUGCGCCAUGGAGACCUUGAGUGGAGCCUAUUGGAACAAAAACAACUGUAGCAGCUGGCGAAUACGAUCAAGGGGAGAGGGGCACACGCAUCUGGACUCCAUCCACAAAAGUCUGACUGAGACAUUUGAGGCUGGUAAUGGUCCUUGCCUGGCGUGGGCGUCGAGAUGACGACUGUGGACCUGGCUCUCGGCCACGGCUCCUGGAAUAGACCCGGCCUGUACCCUCACCGACAUACCUUCUGCAAUCACACGAACCCUCCUCCUGGACCCUCCAUGGAAGCCCCUCCUCCCGGGCCCUCACCAGACCCUCCUCCUGGACCCUCCACGGACCCUGGUACCACAUGAAACACGCUUCUGGCCGUCUUCCCCUCUUUCAUGGCCCUCUAUCCUCCGUCUGGCUCAGCCCUCCUGGAAUCAGCCUCCCUGUGGGAAGCCGCCGGUCACCGGACCCCAGUAUCACCGGACGUAAUAAGUCCUUGGACAAGUCCUGCCCCACUCUCGCUCUCCCUGCUGGUGCUGGGUCUGCAGGAGGGGAGGUCCCCACUCCCCGUGUCUCUGUCAUCACCUGAACUUCCAAUAUUUCCUGUGGUCUUUCUCUCUCCCUGGACAGUCUGGCCCACGUCCCGGCCUCGGCCAGCCCACAUGCAGACGCUGCCAGGCUUGUCUCUAGAACGAUCGCUCGGGAGCGCUGCACCCCCGUCUGCACACGGCUUCCCGGUCCCCAGGGCAGGUGUCCCCUUUGCCCCUCAAAGCCGUGUUCUCCUGGAGCAGGACCUGCGUCUCCCCCCAGACGCCCUCUGCGCACCCGAGAUCCCCGGUUUGGGCCUUUGCCACCAGGUCACUCAAGGGGAGACCCCGGGAACCCACUCUCCAGCCUCAGCCUCGUCCUGCAGUCGCACGAACUGUGAUAGCUGAGUACCCCGCAGUUGUGUCCCGCCUACCGGCUGCCUGCCUUCGGGUUGUCUUCUCGCCGCUGGACGGUCGCACUGAUCUCCGGUCGGUGGUUCUACAAACGUCCGCCCGGACCGGUCACACCAGCGCCCCCUGCUCCACGUGCCCAACUUACAAGAGUGUCCAAGUGGUGAGACUUCAAGAGGUGACACUCUCGUAGAGCGUUUGCUUUAUUAGCUACACAUGUAAAAAUGGGCAAAUCACAGCUUGUCACCGUCUCGAUUCCCUUUUGCGUCUUCCCGAAAAUCCUGCCGGGUUCCAAACUGAAGUGAUUCGAGGCACCCGUGUUCCUCGGCCAGGUUUUCCUCUGUGCUUCCAUCUGUGUUUCCGAGGUCUUACCUGCUGACUGUUCGUACGGAGAUGGAGGCAACAGAUCUCUUGUUCUUUAUCCACUGACAAGGAUCUCUGUGUGUCCAACGUACAAGUCCAUUUUAUGACCUCUGCCGCCUCCGGGAAGCAUCUCAUGAUACGUUUACCACUUUAUUGAAGAAAAGGGCAAACUCUGCACAACUCUUUUAAACUCUGGGAAGAGCUUGGCCCUGAGAUAAAAAAUAACAACGUCUGAAAAUAGCGGUGGAAGUGAGAUGGGGCCCCUGCCCCUGUGGCAGGUGCCGGGGACCCCCGAGCCAUUGGCAGGGGUGGGGCCUCAGCUCCCACAGGGACACACACGCUUUGGCCUUCAGCCUUUGCAACCUUUGCUCCCAGGGUCACGGCAGGCCCUGGGGCUCUGACUCCUGUUAGCCGAGGGGCUCUGAAAACCUAAUUCCCAGACCAGUGACCUCAGACCCCCAGGGGCUGGGGUGACGGGGGCCUCAGAACUUCCUGAAGACCCCCAGGGAUUGUGGCAUGCAGCUGAGGUAGAGAGCCAUGAUUUAAACUGUCCCUUCACAGAAAAUAGUUCCUGAUGACGUGAUUCUCCUGCCGGUGAAUAAUCUCUCCUGACAGAAAUGGCACACUGGGUGACUUGGGGAGCUGCCACUCUACUGGCCGCAAGCG